ensembl:antisense Pcsk2os2 proprotein convertase subtilisin/kexin type 2, opposite strand 2
UGCCAUACAAGUCUGUGGUAGCCUGGAAGAGAAGAUAUGGAAUACUGAAUGAACAAACCACACUGUUUGUACUCCCGACAAGCCAUUUGGAACCCAGGCAACACAACUCCCCUUCAGCUAUCUGAGGACCUGCCUGAAUCACCCUACUGCCCUGGUCAUUCCUGUCUCCUCAAAAGACGUCCCUUCAGCUGGGCUACUUGGAUGUCUGCUCCUGCAGUAUUGAGAUAAGGAAGGCAUACAGUGUGGUCACCAAACAUUCACAUGUCCCUGUUAUUCCCUGAAUGUUGGAUUGGAAAACAAUUUCUAUUUCAAGAGAACAAGAUAAUCAAAGGAUAAUUCUUGAGGGGCAUUGCAAUACUGGAAAUCCAAGAAUUUAGAAACGAAGCCACUGUGAAGAAGACCACACAUCACAGUGCACAGUGUUGGUAUGUGACUUUGCUGGUGACACCCACCAAAAUAAACUCCAGAGGCUAAGAGCAAGAUGUUCUCAAGACUCAGUUUACCUGUUGAACCAGUCAUCUGUGUAUCGAGGGUAUGGGUA